UUUUAAGAAAAACUUUUCGGGGAGUAAUCUCUUAAUAUUAUUGUUCCCUCCCCUCCGGCGCCUUAGUUCCUUCUUCUAAUUUCUUAAAUAUGCCUUAAUUCUCUUCUUACCUCCCGGUUGCCUUCAUCAAAAUUUCCCCAAACGCCUCUCCCGCACCACAAUCUUCACCUGCUUCGUGUUCGUAGAGCGUCUCUCCCCGUUACAUUCAUCAAAUUUCCCCCAAACCCUUUUCUCGCACCACAAUCUGCCCCUGCUUCGUGUUCAUGGAGUGACUUUUCCUGCUUGGGCUGAGCGUCGAGGUCGAGGCAGCAAGGUCGAGGCGGCGAGGUCGGGGCGGUGAGGCGUCGAGGCAGCGAGGACUCUGCUGUGUGCGAUUUUAUCACUUCCGUCUCCAACCUCUCAAACUCAAAUAUGUUCAUCUUAUCUUUUCAAUCUUCAUGUUCUUUUGAUAUGCAGUAUAAGUGGCUUGGAAAAACAAGAAAUAAAGAGUAAAGUAAAAAUCAAAUAUAUAAGAAUUAUGAAUUAUAUGUCCAGUUCAAAGGAAGUCUCGGUGAGUGAGAGAAAAGCAGGGCCUGCCACAUCAAGGUUGGUGGUUUCUGAUGCUCAACAAUGUAAUGGUGAUCCAGAAAGACCUCCACAUAGCCCUUCUGUGCCUGCACAGAGAGCACCUAGACCCAAACUUGAAUCUAUGCCAAAAAAAGUGGCUAUUGAGUUUGGUUAACCUGGAACUUGUGACAUUAAGCUUCUUCUCCUUGGAAAGCAGGGUUUUUGUGUGAAGUUAAGUGUUCACAAGGAUGUUUUAAAAGAGAAGGGUAGUAUUUUUGCUGAUAAACUUUCUGAACAAUCUGGUGUGUCAUGUCUCCAAGUUGAUGACUGUAAGGAUGUUGAAACUAUUGGGCUUAUGUACUGCAAAGAAAUGAAGCAGCGGCUAAUGAAGAAGAGCGUUUCUCGGUUAGAAUACUUAAGGUAAUUUGCUUGCUCUGUCAUCACAGCCUGCUUUGCUGCUAAUACUAUUGGGUAUUUUUGGGAGUGAAGAAGUAUGUUCUAUGCUAUUAAUCUUUUGGUAUUAUAAUUUUUGGAUUAUUUUUUGGUGUUGUUUAAUGGUAUGCCUCAUUGGAGGCUUAUAGUUAUGUGACCUAUUUAAUCUCUUCUUAUUAUUGUAUUCCUCGUGAGUCAAUUCACCCUCCAAUACGAUGAAUAUUUUAACUA